UACGGAGGGUGCAAGCAUUGAUCGGAAUUACUGGGCGUAAAGGGCGCGUAGGCGGCUUUUUAAGUCAGAUGUGAAAUUCCGGGGCUCAACCCCGGAGCUGCAUUUGAAACUGAAGAGCUAGUGGCUAGUAAGGGAAAACAGAAUUCCACGUGUAGCGGUGAAAUGCGUAGAUAUGUGGAAGAAUACCGGUGGCGAAGGCGGUUCUCUGGGCAUGAUCUGACGCUGAGGAGCGAAAGUGUGGGGAGCGAACAGG
rnacentral:rRNA from 1 species